rnacentral:rRNA from 1 species
UACGUAGGGUGCAAGCGUUGUCCGGAAUUAUUGGGCGUAAAGAGCUCGUAGGCGGUCUGUCGCGUCUGCUGUGAAAACUCGGGGCUUAACCCCGGGCCUGCAGUGGGUACGGGCAGACUAGAGUGCGGUAGGGGAGACUGGAAUUCCUGGUGUAGCGGUGAAAUGCGUAGAUAUCGUAAGGAAGACCAGUGGCGAAGGCGGGUCUCUGGACAGUUCCUGACGCUGAGGCACGAAGGUCAGGGGAGCAAACGGG